rnacentral:snRNA from 1 species
AGCUGUGUGAUGAUGACAUAGCGAACUAUUCUUUCGCCUUUUACUAAAGAAUACCGUGUCAGCGUCACAUUUAACGACAUACGUUAGUUUUUGGAAGAGUCCUUUUUGUUGAGGGCUCUGCAAUAUAGUUCAAAUUUUUCAUGUUUUUCUAACAAAGCCAGUUAGAUUAGUUCCUGUAUAGAUUUAUCGUUGGGUUAGUUCCAACUUAAACAGAUAAAAGUGGUCUUUAUGAAUAUGCCAACUUCAUUUCAUUUUAGUUUUUCUAAAUUAUUUUAACUUUUAAUCCUACUUCCUCCGGAU